UGCGGGGGGGGCAAGCGUUGUUCGGAAUUACUGGGCGUAAAGGGUUUGUAGGUGGCCAACUAAGUCAGACGUGAAAUCCCUCAGCUUAACUGGGGAACUGCGUCUGAGACUGGAUGGCUUGAGUGCAGGAGAGGAACGCGGAAUUCCAGGUGUAGCGGUGAAAUGCGUAGAUAUCUGGAGGAACACCGGUGGCGAAGGCGGCGUUCUGGACUGCAACUGACACUGAAAAACGAAAGCCAGGGGAGCAAACGGG
rnacentral:rRNA from 1 species